AUGAACUGUUUUAUGACAUUUAUUCUCCAUUUGAUUCUCUUUGCAUUUUAUUCUCCUCUCCUUUAUGCCAAUGUGAAGGAGGCAUAUAGCUCUUCAGCCCUACCCCCACUUGGUGGAUCAGACCAUAACUUAAUAUAUUUAGUACCAACAUACAAGCCUGUAGUAAGACAACAGUCUGCUACCAAGAGGUAUGUGAGAGUUUGGUCAAAGGAUGCUGAGGAGGCCCUGCAGGAGUGCUUCAGGGUUACAAACUGGGACCUUUUUAUGGACGCUCAUGGUGAGGACAUCGAAGUUAUCUCUCACUGCAUCACAGAUUACAUCCACUUCUGUGAGGACAAUAUUGUUCCGUCCAAAAAAGUUUGUUGUUUCCCCAAUAAUAAGCCAUGGAUAAAUAAGGACAUUAAAGGCCUCCUCAAUAAGAAGAAGAGGGCAUUCAUGGCAAGAGACAAGGAGGAACUCCGAGCCGCACAGAAGGAACUCAAGAGGAAGCUGAGGGAGGCAAAGCAGCUCUAUAGAGACAGAGUAGAGCAUAAGUUGAGACAGAACAAUAUCAAAGAGGUGUGGAAUGGGAUGAAAAUAAUGACUGGUUAUAAGAAGUCGCACACUGCUGUGGAAGGAGACUCAAAGUUUGCUAAUGAACUUAACCUGUUCUUUAAUAGAUUUGGCACCACCUCUGCUUCUUACUCUGAUCCAUUGUCCUCACGCACCAUCCUUCCUCCCUACACCACCUUAGCUGAUGCCUUGGGGUCUCUUCACAUCACCCCACCCAACAUCUCUGCCAAUGCUGCCUCCCCAUUGCCCACUGAUACCAUCUCCUCUAUCAGCAGCCAUACAACAUUGAAGUAUACCUCACCUCCAAUAACUCCUCCCCUGCCCUCAUCAUCUGACUCCUCAUCAACACAAUACACAGGCCCAGCCUUUGCCACAGAACAGGUGAGGAAGGAACUAGCUAAACUAAAGGCCAACAAAGCAAAAGGACCAGAUGAGAUCAGUCCCAGAGUAUUUAAGGUGUGUGCUGGACAGCUUGCAGAGGUUUUUCAGAAACUCUUCAACCUCUCUCUGAGGCUCAAAAAGGUGCCUAAGUUAUGGAAAACUUCCUGUAUUGUCCCAUUACCAAAAAGAACCCAUCCCAGUACCCUUAGUGACUUCCGACCAGUAGCGCUAACAUCACAUGUCAUGAAAGUGUUUGAGAGACUGGUCCUGCAACACCUGAGGUCCCAAGUGUCUGAAUUUCUGGACCCCCUGCAGUUUGCAUAUCAAGAACACAUCGGAGUGGAAGAUGCCAUCAUCUUCUUAAUGCACAGAGCAUACUCCCAUCUGGAGAGGCAGGGCAACACUGUGAGAGUCAUGUUUUUUGACUUUUCAAGUGAUUUCAACACUAUUCAGCCCCACCUGCUAAGUGCAAAGAUGCAGGAUAUGGAAAUUCCCGCAGACAUGGUGGAGUGGAUCAAAGACUACCUCACUGGGCGGCCACAGUUCGUUCGCUUAGAUGGCUGCAUAUCUGAUGUGGUGAUGAGCAGCACCGGUGCACCUCAAGGAACUGUACUAGCACCAUUCCUGUUUACACUCUACACCUCAGACUUCCGCUACAACUCAGGAACCUGUCACCUCCAAAAGUUCUCUGAUGACUCUUCAAUCAUUGGAUGCAUUAACAAUAAUAACGAUGAGGAAUAUAGACACUUGAUAAAAACCUUUGUUGAUUGGUGUAACAACAACUGUCUAAAGCUCAACAUCAAGAAAACCAGAGAACUGGUGGUGGACUUUAGGAGAAACAGGAAGACCCCAGUCCCUGUCUCCAUCGUUGGAGACGAAGUAGAGAUUGUGGAAUCCUACAAAUACCUUGGAGUCCAUAUUAACAACAAACUGGACUGGUCAAACAAUACAGAUGCACUCUUCAAGAAAGGACAGAGCAGACUGUUCUUCCUCAGGACUCUGUUCCUUUGGUGUGUGCAGCAAGCUGCUGAAGAUGUUCUAUCAGUCUGUAGUAGCAAGUGCACUGUUCUUUGCAGUUGUGUGCUGGGGAGGUGGCAUCAAGGCUGGUGA
rnacentral:lncRNA from 1 species